rnacentral:lncRNA from 1 species
AUUUCCAAGAUUUUGUAAGAAAAUCUUAAAUCAGUGUUUUGAGUUAUUUAAUUUUUAAAUUAAUCUACAAAUUAUGCACAACAAACUAGAGACUCAGUUAGGAUUAGAAAGCUUAAAGUAUGUUUGAUGUAGGAAAUAAGCUUCUCAGAGUUAUACUUGAUUCUGUCUGUAGAUAAGAGACAGUCUACAGUAAUAACUAACCCAGGGAAUUUACUGUAAUUUGAGAGGUAACAUCUCUAUUUUUUUCUUUUUAAAUACAGAAAGUAAUAGUCACCAGCAAGCCACGAUUUCAGGAAAACUGACUAAAAAAAAAAAGUCAAAAUAGAAAAUAUCAGAAAAAUGAAAGAUUUUUGUGUGCCCUCUCCAUAUCCUCAUUGUUUUUGUUGCAUUCGUCCUUGACUCUAAAAUCACUGAAGUAUUCAUGAUUAGUAGUUUGUAAGUAGGAAGUGGUUUUUCUGUAUGUACCAUAUAUCCAGUUCAUUUCAAUUUUCAAACUAAAAUCCAUAUGUAUUUGCUGAGAAAGUUAUUUGAAAUCUUAUAUUCUGACAAAUUCUGUACAUUACAUCCAUUUGAAGUUUUGCAUCAUCUUAACACUUUUGCUUUGCAUUUCAAUUGUACAAAGUGUUUCCAAAAAAAUGGUUAUAGAUUCGACUGAGCUAUUACUAACUUCUCCAUUUGAUUUUUUAUGGAUGUGAAAAAUGCUGCUACUUGUCUAUGUUAUUAUGUGGUAUUUGUUCUCUUGGAUUGAAAUUUAUGCCCACAGAUUUUUCUUUUCAUUUGAAAAUGAAUGUGAAGAUACUGUUUACAGCUUUUGUUAAUUGCAGUUUUCAUCACUCUGAUCAAUUUCUUGUAAAGUGCUAUGGGAAUUAUUUUUCCUGUGAAUAUUAAUGAUUUUACUACUGCCUCCAAAGUUUUAAAAAAGGUUCUGUAGACAGAAAACAGUUGUUGCAACCAAAAACAACCAAAAAAAGAAAAGGAAAACUGGCUUACCUUUCUCAGAUGAAUUAAAUGAUUUUAAUAACUUCCCAAUUACCAGGGUUAUAACGUUGCUUUCUUCAGUUAUUAAUACAGUCAAAUUAAUUUUAACAAUAUAAGCACAAUUCAUUUACAAAUUCAGUACAGUAGUCCAGGGCUACAUGUAAGUGGUCUCUAUUUUAUUCUUUACAUCAGAAAAAUCAUGAAUGUCAGUUUUGCCAGUAUUUUACAAUGAGGCUUAUCGUUUAAAAUUUUAUAGUGUAUGACAUGUAAAUAAACCAGUAUUUAUUGUAGGUUGUUUGAUUCAGGCAUUUCAAAUGGAUAUAGGUUAAUGGCAAUGGAAUCCUAUUUAUUUGGUAGUUGGUUUUGUUUUUGUUUAUUUACUUUUGCUAUUUGUUUUGUAUUGUCUAAACUUUGCUUCAACUGAAGACAGUGUAAGGAGUUGAAAAUACAAUCAACAUAGCAAUGGAAAGCAAUGCAAAGAGGGUAAAUCUUGUUUUAAUUUUUUUAACUUUUUUUUUUUUGUAAAUAAAUAGUACUGUGAUACUUUAGGUGUGACCUUCUAUUCCACAUGAUAGUUAGAACCAGAAAAACACUUUUGCUUUCUAGUUGUACUAUUGGUUCAUUGUAAAUGCAUUACCAAAAGACAAUAUGAAAAAGAGCAAGAUUAAGUUUUUCUAACAUUGUCCACUUCAGGGGCAAGCAUGCUUGGUAUAGAGCUCUAGCUUGUGUAUACCUUAAACUGUAACUUGCAGGUGUUUUUCAGUUGCUGCACUUUUUAUUUAAUCUUGCUCAGUCCCAGUAACUAUCUCAAAGGUAAUUGCUGGAAUAUGCAUUUUGAAAUACGGUUUAAAAAAAAUCUGUGUAUUGUUUCAUCUAAAAAGAAAAGCACUAUUGCAAACACUAAAAACGUGUUAAACUUUGUAGUUAUUUUGCAUUCCUGUACUUUACAAACUGUCAUCACAGCAAAAAGUUUAAAAUUAGGUAAUGAAAUAUUUUUGUAAAUAAAUACCGUUAAGCUGGUAUUUUAAAAAAUGUAUUAUAAAUUAAUGUUUCUGGAAAAUGUUCAUAUAUAUGUAUAUGAAUGUCUCUUUAUGCUGAAGGGCUCUGAUUGGGCAAAAUAAAAUACUCUAAUCUCUCCUGAAACUAAACAAGCCCUUUUUCCUGGAAAAUUUGUUCUAAUUUUUUUCUGAAUUAUGGAAUUAAUCUAUUAAUAACCUAAGAAAAU